AACUUCGUUGGAAUACGAGGCCAUAGAAGGUGAAAGCCCUGUAUAUGUUGCUGACACUUUAUCCCUGUUCAUUUCUAUGAGUAGAGUUAUUUGAAAUUGUAACUCAAAGAAAGGAGAUAGGAUUCUCCUAAGGCUAAAUACGAAAUGCGAGACCGAUAGUAAACAAGUACCGUGAGGGAAAGUUGAAAAGCACUCUGAAGAGAGAGUGAAAAGUACGUGAAACUGCUGGGAGGGAAGGGAAAUGAACGUUAACUUCUCUAAUGCCUUGCUCUAAUCAGCUCGGCGCCUUGAGAAUGAAGUUUGCUUCGUGCGACGUUUGUGUUAGUUAACAGCUUGCGUCAGUUUCGACUGGCUCUUGUGUUAAUUAUCACUGAAUUAGUUACCCGUAACUAUUUUGGUCAAACAAAGUAGCUUCAUUUCAAUGUUCUUUCCCGCCCGUCUUGAAACACGGACCAAGGAGUGUGUGUUGCUUGCAAGUACGUGCGUCGUCCAGACGUAACUGCGUAGUGAAAGCAAAUAUGGUUUCUUUAUUGAUUCCAUGCUAUGUGGUGAUAGCGCCGGAACGGUGUCUCGCAACCACGGACGGCUUUGUCAAAAAGUACAUAGUCGAUCUUGAGCAAGUAGCACACGACCCGAAAGAUGGUGAUCUAUGCUUGGGUAGAGCGAAGCCACGGGAAACCAUGGUGGAAGCUCGUAGCGGUUCUGACGUGCAAAUCGAUCGUCUAACCUAAGCAUAGGGGCGAAAGACCAAUCGAACCAUCUAGUAGCUGGUUCCCUCCGAAGUUUCCCUCAGGAUAGCGAGAACUCAAAUGCAGUAUCAUCGGGUAAAGCGAAUGAUUAGAGGCCUGGGGGAAGUUAAUUCCUUCACCUAUUCUCAAACUUUAAAUCGGUGAGAUGUCUCUUUGACUUAAUUGCAAUGAGGCAUUAUGUAUGCGAGCUCUUCGUGGGCCGUUUUUGGUAAGCAGAACCGGCGAUGUGGGAUGAACCAAACGUUAUGUUAAGGCGCCAAACUACUUGCUCAUGAGUAACCACAAAAGGUGUUGAUUGGUAGAGACAGCAGGACGGUGGCCAUGGAAGUUGGAAUCCGCUAAGGAGUGUGUAACAACUCACCUGCCGAAUCAAUCAGCCCUGAAAAUUGAUGGCACUAGAGCUCGUGGCCUAUACAUAACCAUGAACACCAAAAUUUUGAUGUAUGUUUGGUUAUUUUUUAAAUAACCUUACUCUAUUCAAAAACUUUGUGUUUCUAUUGUGUUCAUGAGUAGGAGGGAACCCCAGUUGCGUUAAAGUAUGCAGGUGACUGCAUGCAUCAAGCGACUGGCGGCUCAGAUCUUGGUGGUAGUAGCAAGUACUCAAACAUGAACUUUGAGGACUGACGCGGGAAAGGUUUUCAUGUGAACAGUGAUUGAACAUGAGUUAGCCGAUCCUAAGAGACGGGCUAAGGCCGAUUGCAUUGGAAUUUUCAUUAAUUCCUGCGUCUCAAAAGGGCUUUGGGUUAAUAUUCCCAAGCUAUGUCUAUCGGUGAAGGCGGUAACGCAAGUGUGGAAUCCAACGAGGCAAUGGAAACCUGGGGAAGAGUUCUCUUUUCUUUAUAACCAUCAGUGACACCUUGGAAUUGAUUCAAUCAGAGAUAAGGGUCCGAGGAUGGGAAGAGCACAACAGCAUUUGUUGUGUCCCACGUGUUUUCAUUGUCCCUUGAAGGUUGGGUAAAACAAAUUGCCAAUAGACAUAAUCGUACCGAUAACCGCAUCAGGUCCCCAAGGUUUACAGCCUCUUGUCCUGGAACAGUGUAGGUAAGGGAAGUCGGCAAAAUUGAUCCGUACCUUAGGAAGAAGGAUUGGCUCUGAUGACUGGGUGUAACAAGCCUGAAGCCUGACGUUCAAUUUCACUCAGGGUGGUAUUCCUUUAAAAAUCUUACUUCGGUUUUUGCUUUAUUGGUUUACUCGCUGAGUGUAUUUUGUUCUGAAUGACUUUCGGUCAAUACCUGUUGCACAUUUAACAGUCACUAUCAGAACUGGCUCGGACUUGAGGAAUCCGACUGGUUAAUUAAACCAAAGCAUUGCGAUGGCCGGUAAAACGGUGCUGACGCAAUGUGAUUUCUGCCCAGUGCUCUGAAUGUCAAAGUGAAGAAAUUCAAUAAAGCGCGGGUAAACGGCGGGAGUAACUAUGACUCUCUUAAGGUAGCCAAAUGCCUCGUCAUCUAAUUAGUGACGCGCAUGAAUGGAUUAACGAGAUUCCUACUGUCCCUACCUACUAUCCAGCGAAACCACAGCCUUGGGAACGGGCAAGGCAAAGGUGGCGGGGAAAGAAGACCCUGUUGAGCUUGACUCUAGUUAGAUGUUGUGAAGUGGCUCGGAAGGUGUAGAAUAGGUGGGAGCUUAACGGCGCCAGUGAAAUACCACCACUUUCGCUGCCGCUUCACUAAUCCAAUAAUGAUGCAAUGGUCAUUAAGUUGUCCUUAGUUUAAGCUUAAGCUUUUGAUUUCUUGUGAAUCAAUUGCAAGCAUUAUUGGAGACAGCAUCUGGUGGGGAGUUUGACUGGGGCGGUACAUCUGUUAAAAGAUAACGCAGGUGUCCCAAGGCUGACUCACCGGGGACAGAAACCUCGGGUAGAGCAUAAGGGCAAAUGUCAGCUUGAUCUAGUUUUUCAGUGUGAAAACAGACUGCGAAAGCGGGGCCUAACGAUCCUUUUGGUUUAAGAAUCUUUUAUCAAGAGGUGUCAGAAAAGUUACCACAGGGAUAACUGGCUUGUGGCAGCCAAGCGUUCAUAGCGACGUUGCUUUUUGAUCCUUCGAUGUCGGCUCUUCCUAUCAUUGUGAAGCAGAAUUCACAAAGUGUUGGAUUGUUCACCCACUAACAGGGAACGUGAGCUGGGUUUAGACCGUCGUGAGACAGGUUAGUUUUACCCUACCACCUAAAGACAGGGUGAAGUGAAGUAUUUCCGGACAGUACGAGAGGAACCCCGGUAAAUAUUCUGGCGGUGGCUACACCCUGUUUGAUAAGA
rnacentral:rRNA from 1 species